rnacentral:precursor_RNA from 1 species
GUGUGUGUAAGAACCAUGUGGGUGAUUUAAUAUGGUACUCCUUAAGCUAACAGGCCCCUGUCACCAUUAGCUUAAGGAGUACCAGAUCAAAUCACCCACAAACACUGUGGAGGUGAAC